GAAAAAAGAGGAGCCACAGCCUUUUGUAAAAAAUCAAGUGCGAAAAAAUUUGUUGUCAGAUUUGGAAAAAACAGAAUUAAAGGCAGAAGUAAAUCUUUUUUUUUUGUAACAAAUUACAAAAUGUUUUAUAAAAAUAAAGGGUUAAAUCUUUUUGUUUUUAUAGGGGGAAUGGAAGAAGAGCCUAUAUAUGAGGACAUGGCAACCGAGGAACAGCCGCAGGAUAGCGAUGUUGAAAACCAACCGAUAGACCCCGAGUUGUGGAAAGAUGGCGAUAUUGUUACGAUAACCAAGCCUGGGCCGUACAAGAUUACUGCUUUGGUGUGUAACAAACUGCCAACAGUUGCAGAGACAGAAACACCCGAGGAGGCUGCUGAAACUAUGAUUGACGAAGGUGAUUCAGAAACAAAGGACACAAACGGGGUGUCAAUAGUAUAACCCAAAGAACAUGACAAGGAAGAUGAUAUGGGGUUCAACGGUGCGUCAGUCGAGGAUGAUGAUAAUUCAGAAUCAGACGAGGGCAUCUUCAGAGGAUGAAAAGAAGCGGCCUCUAAGCAGAACAGCCGUAAUGUGUACCUGUUGUUUUUGUGUGAAGCAAGAUGUUAAAAAAAAGUCUGUAAAAAGUGAAGAGAGUGACCAGAAAAGCGGUGAAGAAAAAGAGGAUCCAGUUAUGGCUGAUAUUGU